rnacentral:lncRNA from 1 species
CGGGGAUCUCCGCCACGGUCAUUGCCAAGGCCUGGAUGAUGGACAUUCCCUCGGUCCUUCUAAAUGCCAUGGCUAAAGGAUGACCUCAGCACCUCCAGGAGUCACGAAGGGGAAGGACACUUUUGGAUGGAUGCUGCACGAGCCACUCACAAGGAAAUCCAGCUUCCAUCUGACAUCGAGCUCAGUGUCCUGGAGCCAGCCUUCAUCCAGCAACCCGCAACCCGCGGGCGCACGGCCCCGCUCGGCGCCCCGUUCCCCCCGCCGCGCGCCAUG